CGGCUGAGUAACGCGUGGGUGACGUACCUAUCGGUGGGGAAUAACUGCCCGAAAGGGUGGCUAAUACCGCAUACGUCCACUGCUUCGUGGCAGUGGGGAAAACCGCAAGGUGCCGAUGGAGCGGCCCGCGUUCGAUUAGCUGGUUGGUGGGGUAACGGCCUACCAAGGCGACGAUCGAUAGCUGGUCUCAGAGGAUGAUCAGCCAGACUGGGACUGAGACACGGCCCAG
rnacentral:rRNA from 1 species